GCCGGGUGCUGUGGUGAGUGCCUGUAGUCCCAGCUACUCGGGAGGCUGAGUGGGAGGAUCGCUUGAGCCCAGGCUGUAGUGUGCUAUGCCCAUCGGGUGUCCGCACUAAGUUCGGCAGCCAUAUGGUGACCUCCCAGGAGCAGGGACCACCAGGUUGCCUAAGGAGGGGUGAACUGGCCCAGGUUGGAAACGGAACAGGUCAAAACUCCCGUGCUGAUCAGUAGUGGGAUCGCACCUGUGAAUAGCCACUGCACUCCAGCCUGGGCAAUGUUGCGAGACCCCCAUCUCA
rnacentral:SRP_RNA from 1 species